rnacentral:rRNA from 1 species
GUGCGUAGGUGGUCUAAUAAGUCAGUGGUGAAAUCUCUUUGCUUAACAAGGAAAUUGCCAUUGAAACUGUUAGACUUGAGAAUGGACGAGGUAGGCGGAAUUCGUAGUGUAGCGGUGAAAUGCAUAGAUAUUACGAAGAACUCCAAUAGUGUAGACUGCUUACCAGACCAUAUCUGACACUAAGGCACGAAAGUGUGGGUAUCAAACAGGAUUAGAUACCCUGGUAGUCCACACAGUAAACGAUGAAUACUAACUGUUUGCGAUAUACAGCAAGUGGUCGAGCGAAAGCGUUAAGUAUUCCACCUGGGAAGUAUGCCGGCAACGGUGAAACUCAAAGGAAUUGACGGGGGCCCGCACAAGCGGAGGAACAUGUGGUUUAAUUCGAUAAUACGCGAGGAACCUUACCCGGGCUCGAACGAUAUUUGAAUACAUCCGAAAAGAUGUAGCUAGCAAUAGCAAAUACCGAGGUGCUGCAUGGUUGUCGUCAGCUCGUGCCGUGAGGUGUCGACUUAAGUGUCAUAACGAGCGCAACCCUUACCGAUAGUUACCAUCAGAUAAUGCUGGGGACUCUAUUGGGACUGCCACCGUAAGGUGUGAGGAAGGAGAGGAUGACGUCAAAUCAGCACGGCCCUUAUGUCCGGGGCGACACACGUGUUACAAUGGGAGAAACAAAGGGUCGCUACCUGGCAACAGGAUGCUAAUCUCGAAAAUCUCUCUCAGUUCGGAUUGGAGUCUGCAACUCGACUCCAUGAAGCUGGAUUCGCUAGUAAUCGCACAUCAGCCAUGGUGCGGUGAAUACGUUCCCGGGCCUUGUACACACCGCCCGUCAAGCCAUGGAAGCUGGAAGUACCUGAAGUAUGUAACUAAAAGAGCGUCCUAAG